rnacentral:lncRNA from 1 species
UGCAAUUUCACGUAUUGCUGUAAACUUGGGAUUUCACAUUUUCAUUCUCUUAAACUCAUUCUUUCCUAACCUUCUAUCUUCCUGCAACUCGUUUGAAUGUGUGAGUGCGUGUGCUUGUGUUAGAUUAGUUUAUAUGCUUAGAUUUAUCUAAUAAAGCCUUAUUCAUAUUGAAAAGAGAAGUAUCUUGUGUUUUGUGCUUACAAGUUAAUGUCUUAAACUACCGAUCUAGUUACUGUGCUAAUUAAUAGUGUUUUCACUAUACUUUGGAUAUUAAUAUCCAUAGCAGAGUUGAUGUUAUACGGCUCGUUCAAUGAAUCGCUGGCCAUCUCAGUGAUCAGCCGUGAAACAGUGAUUCUGUUCAAAUUCCCUUUAAAAUCUUAAAUGAUUCCCUUUGAGCUAAAUUGACCUGUUUCCCUUACAAGGGCUAGUAAAAUCACUCUGGACCCCUCACAUCCAGCACCCAUCCUUCCUUGAACUGUUGCCAUCUGGCCAUUUUAAUUACAGUAAUUUUAAGAAGGCUUUAACAUCAAAACGUAAGUAACACUCCACCUAAAUCUAAAAACAUAGAUUCUGUUAUCUUAAGAUUAGUAGUAGUAGUAGUAGUAGUAGUUGGUGUAAUUUUUGUAUAUUAUGUUAUUAUAUUAUAAGAUUAUUCUUUAUUUUAUCUACAUUGUACCUCUGCUCUAGCUUAUUUCCUUCUAAUAAACCUGGAGCUGCAUAUUAAAUAUUGUUGGCUCUGUGUCAGAUUGCUCAUUCUUAAAUUCUUAAAUGAAUUCUUGAAUGAAUUGUUUUGUUUGUUUUUUUUUUUUUUUGGUUUUUUUAUUAUUAGGUUUUUUUUUAAGUCUCUUAUGCCCACCACAGCUUAAUGUAUGAAAACACAACACAAUUUAAUACAAUUUAAAAUGAAAAAUGUUCAGCAUCAUUACUCCAGUCUUCAGUGUCACAUGAUCCUUCAGAAAUCAUUCUAAUAUGUUGAUUUGCUGCUCAAGAAACAUUUUUGAUUAAUAUCAAUGUUGAAAACAGCUGUGCUGCUUCAUUUUUUCAGGAUUCUUUGAAUAAAAAGUUUUUUUAAAAGUACAUCAUUGAUUUGAAACAGAAAUGUGUGCAUUUGAUUAUAAAGGUAAUGUUUAUUGAGCAGCAAAUCAGCAUAUCAGAAUGAUUUCUGAAGGAUCAUGUGACACUGAAGACGGGAGUAAUGAAUGUUCAGCUUUGACCACUGAAAUAAAUUAC